rnacentral:rRNA from 1 species
CUACACAUGCAGUCGAGCGGCAGCGACACAUUGAACCUUCGGGGGAUUUGUUGGGCGGCGAGCGGCGGACGGGUGAGUAAUGCCUGGGAAAUUGCCCUGAUGUGGGGGAUAACCAUUGGAAACGAUGGCUAAUACCGCAUGAUAGCUUCGGCUCAAAGAGGGGGACCUUCGGGCCUCUCGCGUCAGGAUAUGCCCAGGUGGGAUUAGCUAGUUGGUGAGGUAAGGGCUCACCAAGGCGACGAUCCCUAGCUGGUCUGAGAGGAUGAUCAGCCACACUGGAACUGAGACACGGUCCAGACUCCUACGGGAGGCAGCAGUGGGGAAUAUUGCACAAUGGGCGCAAGCCUGAUGCAGCCAUGCCGCGUGUACGAAGAAGGCCUUCGGGUUGUAAAGUACUUUCAGCAGUGAGGAAGGAGGUAUCGUUAAUAGCGGUAUCUUUUGACGUUAGCUGCAGAAGAAGCACCGGCUAACUCCGUGCCAGCAGCCGCGGUAAUACGGAGGGUGCGAGCGUUAAUCGGAAUUACUGGGCGUAAAGCGCAUGCAGGUGGUUUGUUAAGUCAGAUGUGAAAGCCCGGGGCUCAACCUCGGAAUUGCAUUUGAAACUGGCAGGCUAGAGUACUGUAGAGGGGGGGUAGAAUUUCAGGUGUAGCGGUGAAAUGCGUAGAGAUCUGAAAGGAAUACCGGUGGCGAAAGGCGGCCCCCUGGACAGAUACUGACACUCAGAUGCGAAAGCGUGGGGAGCAAACAGAUUAGAUACCCUGUAGUCCACGCCGUAACGAUGUCUACUUGGAGGUGGUGGCCCUUGAGCCGUGGCUUUCGGAAGCUAACCGCCGUUAAGU